rnacentral:rRNA from 1 species
AAUCAACGCUGGCGGCGUGCCUAACACAUGCAAGUCGAACGCGAAAGUCCCGCAAGGGAUUAGUAGAGUGGCAAACGGGUGAGUAACGCGUGGGUGACCUGCCUUCGAGUGGGGGAUAACGUUUCGAAAGGGACGCUAAUACCGCAUGACAUCCUGCCUUUGAAGAGGCGGAGAUCAAAGCCGGGAUCGCAAGACCUGGCGCUUGAUGAGGGGCCCNCGUCUGAUAGCUAGUUGGUGGGUAAUGGCCUACCAAGGCAACGAUCAGUAUCCGGCCUGAGAGGGCGGACGGACACACUGGGACUGAGACACGGCCCAGACUCCUACGGGA